UGUCAGGUGCUUAAGCUUUUGUGCAG
rnacentral:piRNA from 1 species